rnacentral:rRNA from 1 species
GAUGAACGCUGGCGGCGUGCCUAAUACAUGCAAGUCGAGCGAACAGACGAGGAGCUUGCUCCUCUGACGUUAGCGGCGGACGGGUGAGUAACACGUGUAUAACCUACCUAUAAGACUGGUAUAACUUCGGGAAACCGGAGCUAAUACCGGAUAAUAUAUUGAACCGCAUGGUGCAAUAGUGAAAGACGGUGGUGCUGUCACUUAUAGAUGGAUCCCCGCCGCAUGAGCUAGUUGGUAAGGUAACGGCUUACCAAGGGGACGAUGCGUAGCCGACCGCAGAGGGUGAUCGGCCACCCUGGAAGGGAGCCGCGGUCCAGACUCCUACGGGAGGCAGCAGUAGCGAAUCUUCCGCAGUGGUCGAAAACCUGACGGAGCAACGCCGAGUGAGUGAUGAAGGUCUUCGGAUCGUAAAACUCUGUUACUAGUGAAGAACAAAUGUCUAAGUAACUAUGCACUUCUUGACGGUACCUAAUCAGAAAGCCACGGCUAACUACGUG